AAUAGAGUUUUUGACUUUGGUUGAUUUUUCUUUGCUUCAGAUUCACCGAGUUGGUACAAUCGCAUCCAAAUCUUGCAUAUAUUCACACUUUUACCUAUCCAAACCUCUGAUUAGGCGAAUAAGUUAUCAAGAAUUGUAAGGAUGAUUAGGACAAUCAGAAAGGAUAUAAUGCUUAAAGAAUAGAGACUCAAUUUUAGUGUCUUUUAACGCUGAACCUUUGAAGAAGCUCACACCUAUGAGUUUAAUGUGCAUGUGGCGCAAAGGCCUAGAUUGCCUUCUCUUAGGGUUGUUGUUGGAAGUGUAUAGAAGAGAAAAACCAGUCUGUUUUGUAGAGAAAGUAUGAACUUUCAUUCUAUUUUGGCUGGAUACAUCUUCUUGUAGAUACAGUCUGAGCUAUCAGCAGUCUGUCAAAUGCUAUGUUUUGCAAGUUUUGAUUCACCCUUUGCUUCAAGUGCAGAACAAAUCUCAUGAUGAUGAUUUCCAAAAUUCUUGGUUUGUGCAAAGUAAACAUGUGACUUCCUCUUUACUUUUCUAAAUACUCUUUGGUUCACUAUGAUGUCAUAUGAAUGAAAUUACUACUAUAUGUAAUGAUUAGAAUGUACAGGUGGUAGAAUUUCCAGGAAAAUUACUUUUGUCUUGCUCUACAUCUACACAUAUUAAACUGUGAAUCUGUUACCCUCUUGGUUGUCUUUCUUUUUUUAUACAAUUCUUGUUCUCUAAGCUAUGUAUGUUGGACUGCAAUGAUGGUUUUGAAUCAUAGGCCUAAACUAUGCAGGAGUAUCUAUA